AGAGUUUGAUCAUGGCUCAGGAUGAACGCUGGCGGCGUGCUUAACACAUGCAAGUCGAACGGGGAACAUUUUAUGGAAGCUUCGGUGGAAAUAGCUUGUUCCUAGUGGCGGACGGGUGAGUAACGCGUGGGUAACCUGCCUCACACUGGGGGAUAACAGUCAGAAAUGACUGCUAAUACCGCAUAAGCGCACGGGAUUGCAUGAUCCAGUGUGAAAAACUCCGGUGGUGUGAGAUGGACCCGCGUUGGAUUAGCCAGUUGGCAGGGUAACGGCCUACCAAAGCGACGAUCCAUAGCCGGCCUGAGAGGGUGGACGGCCACAUUGGGACUGAGACACGGCCCAGACUCCUACGGGAGGCAGCAGUGGGGAAUAUUGCACAAUGGGGGAAACCCUGAUGCAGCGACGCCGCGUGAAGGAAGAAGUAUCUCGGUAUGUAAACUUCUAUCAGCAGGGAAGAAAAUGACGGUACCUGACUAAGAAGCCCCGGCUAACUACGUGCCAGCCGCCGCGGUAAUAC
rnacentral:rRNA from 1 species